rnacentral:rRNA from 1 species
UACGUAGGUGGCGAGCGUUGUCCGGAUUUACUGGGCGUAAAGGGCGUGCAGGCGGUUUGUUAAGUGCAGAGUGAAAGCUCCCGGCUCAACUGGGAGAGGUCUUUGCAUACUGGCAAACUCGAGGGAGGCAGAGGAAAGUGGAAUUCCCGGUGUAGUGGUGAUAUGCGUAGAUAUCGGGAGGAACCCCUGUGGCGAAGGCGGCUUUCUGGGCCUUACCUGACGCUGAGACGCGAAAGCGUGGUGAGCGAACCGG